UGUACGGAAGCGACAGCCAUAAGUUUAUGAAGAAUAGCGUUCCCAUUUUGGAAUAAUUCACAAAUUUCGACAGCCUGUUUCAAACAAAUCCGACAUUUAUUUCUAUAAAUCUUCUCAUAUGUAUCAGCUAAGUCGAUUUCUGAAACUUCCAUUUUUAUGCAUUUGAAAACCACGCUACAAAACAGUGUUUUUACAAUGGUGAAACUUUGACACUUCUCCGGUGCGCAUGCAUCGAAAAGUCUGUUAUGAAUGAUUAUAAACUAAUACCGCGAAUAUAGAUGUGAUAUCUUCGCAUAUUAUUUUAUUAUUCUGUACACAUAAAUACGUAGUUCUGAACCAAAAACGACUUAUUUAUGUCUAAUUAUGUCAAAUAUAUCAUUAUUCAAAACAAAUACCAGUAUCAGCACUCGGUUUAAUACUCGUAGCGCCAUCGAAAUCAAAUAUAAAUAUAAUUGGGUUGCUUCGUUGUUAAAUUUUUAUUUAUAAUAUUAAAAAACACCCAAACAGUACUUCUUUUUUGCUUUCUAAAGAAUCUAACGAAUACGUUCUACAAUUCCAAACUUUAAAUCCAUACAAGUAAAUUGGAAUUGAAAGCAAAAAGGAAAAGGUUCAGAAAUACUCUGUUAUAAUUUGAAAUCCAUGCCAUUUCUUAUUGUUUAAUUUUAUUACUCAAGUCCAAUCAACGUUACAAUACGUUUUAAGUAUAGACAUUUUUCAACAAAAAGAUAUACAAGUACACUGUCUGUACACGUAUCACAGAGUAAAUACAGUUGCAUUUAUUCAGAGGCUAUUGGUUACAAUUAUAAUGCACCUGUAAUAAGGACAAACCUAUUCUUGUUUCUUCUUCAUACUCCUCGAUUUCAUGUUCACAAUUUAAACUUCAAAUCAACAUACAUUUCUAUUAAAUUAGACAUUAAUUAUUUAAAUAAAACUAUGACACUAUAAAGCAUGGUAUAUUUAGAGAAUUAAAGAUGAGAACAUGUGGUGAGUAAAAUGGUCAAAAUUUCAGAAAAGAAUUAAACUUAAAUUUCUACAGUACCAUACGUAUGUAACAGUUUAUUAUACAUAUAGGUAAUUUCUAUAACAUUUUAAUGCAAGCUUGAAGUAUUAACUAUAAUUCAAAUAAUGGCUGACAUUUGAAAACUUCAUUAGUUAUGUAUGUAUGCAAGAGCAUUAUUCUACAUAUAAGAAUAUCUACAUGAGUGUUAUUACAGAUAGAGUUACAAGUUUCAAUAUCCAUGGAUUUGGGAUCCAGAGUAUGUGGAUGCGAUGGUAUUCCAGAAGUCCUUGUACAUAACAAAGAGUAGGUGGUACAUUGUAAUUGUCAAAUCUUCAUCAGUUGCUAUAAAAUUGUAAUUGUUGACUGUUACAGGCAAAGAAGAAAAAAGUAUAAAUUAUACUUCACUUUAACAUAAAUAGAGCUCAACAAUAUUUAUCAACUAUUCCAAAGACUAAGUAUGCCAUCCUCUGCAGCUAUGGACACUACACUGCUAUGUUUGACAUUUUCAGCAACAAUGAUGAAUGAAUUCAAUGGCAGAAGAGGAUCUUUCAUGCUACUUUGUAAUCAUCCAUUAUUAAUAUGUUGUGUCAUCAAUUUAAGGUCCUAUUUUAACCUACAAAUGGAUUGCUUUUGAAAAAUAUGUUAAGCUGAAGAAAUUGCAUGAUGGCCAGACGCGAGAAGAAAUAUCAAGGACAAAGGCUGGUCGUGUCAAGGUCAAUUUAAGGUCACUUCUACUCUUUUUAAACGGCACUUUGCAUAUUACUCAUCGCAAAAGUCAGAGUACAGUCAGACCACAUGACGUGUGAUUUUAUUAAUUUUAGAAACAAAUAAUGAAACUUAAUUGAUCCCUAGAAUAAAUAUUGCUUGUUAAUUUAUUGCGAAUACUACACUGUAUGGUCUCUUUAAUAGAUGAUCUUUUAAGUUCCAGAGACAUAUAGAAUACAAGUAAAUGUAAAUAACUUAAUACUACUGCCAUGCAUUCAAUCUUUUCAACUCAAUGUUUUCUGCAAGUGCCAUUUACAGAUUAAAAUAAUGCAACUAUUUCAUUGAAAAAUAUUAAUCUUGUCAAAACUGCUACAACUGGAUUUUAAAUACAAAAAGAAGGAUUUAACAAGAAUAUAGCUUUGCAUUAAUUCAAAAAUAAAGUUUCGACGUUGUUCAUAUUCUAUCCUCCAAUUAACAUUUUACUAAUAAUUUUAAGGCCUACCAUUAUUCCUAUGAGCGUAUUACAAACAUUUUACAAACCCAAAUGCGGAUCACUGGAAUUCGUUGAUCUGCCAGUGUCCAAUGUCUGAAACUUUAAUCUAUAAAGCAAUGAAACACUUAAAAAUGUUCUUAACACUAAACGAAAUGUUGUAAUACACGGACAUCAAAUGGUUUCGAAAAAUAACAUUCAACAUUGCUAAUUGAAAACAAUAAUUUUACAAGAUCUAUAAACAUAUAUAUCCUUCAACCGCUGUGCUUUUCUGAUUUUGUACAACUUCAAAACUGCUUUAAAGUGGAUGGUGCAUAAAAAUUCAAAAUUAUUAGCUAGAACUGGCUAUUCUAUAUUCUAGCGUUUCUCGAUUAUUAUUAAUUUUGGUCUAACAAAGCUUUUCAUUAUUUUCAUAGAAGACAAUGACUAAUGGUAUACAGUGUACAACACAUAAUCGGAACAAUCUUAGAUGCGUUAUUAACUCGUUAGAUAAUAACAUAUUUAUGUAUAGUACAGUCUUGCAAAAAAUAAUAAAUUUUCUGUUCGCCGUUUUUAAAAAAUAAACCAUCUGUUCUCUUAAAAUUUCACUUAUCCUUUGGAAGAAAAAUACGUAUGUACUCCAAGGAAUAUUCUACACCUUACUUCGUGGCGUUUUUCUUUGUGCAUGUUCAAUGCGAUUAAAAAAGUAGAAGUUUUUGAAGGAAGUCAGUUUUAUAAAAGGAACGCGUAUAAAAUCAAUUAAAAAUUUUUGUUUAAAAACAAAUACUCAAAAAUUGGAUGGAACGAUAAGGUACCUCGCAUAUUGCGUUCAAGAUAGACAAAUCGUAUUCAACAGUUCGUUUUGUUUGUUAAUUAUGAACCUAUUUCCUUAGCUGUACAAAUAAGCGAAAAUAUAUGCCAAUGCGUGGUAAUGUUUAGUUUUUUUUUCGUUCAAAUAGCGCGAAUCAAUUAUGAAAAAAUAUUAUCGACGAUUACAAAUGAAGAAUUCCGCGAUUAUUAAAAAAAUUAGGAACCUGUUUCGCUUUUUUCCAAGGAUUCCAAUUUUAUAUGGAACUUGUCUUUUCAUCGUGACUCCAGUUUAUCGUUUUUUGUUUGCUUAUUUGCCCUUAGUCGUUGGUCAGCAACGCACGAUUGUCAGUAAUAACUACUUUUUGUUUGGUUUAUUGUGUAAAUAUUUUCAACUUUUAAUGUCCUUACGUUCGAAUUAAUUAACACAGUACCGAGUGUCCGUAGAAUAUACCCUCAGCUCUUGUGCAUUAGUUUCCUUUGUGUCGAUGAAUUAAAUGUCUAAUAAUUAAUCACAAUACUUUAUAUAGUUUUAUAUAUUUUACAUUGGCGAAAUUUAAGAAGAUUUUUAGAAUUUUAUGAAGCUACUCGAAAUUGGAAGUGAAGAACUGAGGAGUUCUUUGUUAUUUUUCAAUGCAUUGAUUUCGAAAUAUGCACAGAAUGUGUUAUAAAAUUAAAAACUAGUGAUUAAUGUUAUCUUCUGUAAAAUAAAAUGAAUUAGCAAUUAUUUUGCUACGAAUUUCGACAAAUUACAUAUAUUGGAGAGCUUUUCUCUCUUAAAGUUCCCCAAUGUUCAUGUCUUCUAACAUUUUACACACAUGAAGGAAUAACAAAGACCUCGGUUUGAGGGUGUCUCU